AACGCACAUUGCGCCCCUUGGUAUUCCGAGGGGCAUGCCUGUUCGAGCGUCAUUACACCACUCAAGCUCUGCUUGGUAUUGGGCCCUCGUCCUCCCGGGGACGUGCCCGAAAAUCAGUGGCGGUGCCGCCUGACUUCAAGCGCAGUAAUUUCUCUCGCUUUGGAAGGAAGGGUCGGUUGCCUGCCAGACAAACCCAUCAUUUUUUCUAUGGUUGACCUCGGAUCAGGUAGGGAUACCCGCUGAACUUAA
rnacentral:misc_RNA from 2 species